UAUUAGAAUUUUAUGCAAAUAGAAUCUUUCAUGCUUUGUCAUUUUUUUUAGAAAAUCAAUAAUGUUUACAGCAGUGACUUGAUUCAGAUUUCAGAUUGGUUAUAUAUGCGUUGGGCCAAAUUCAGCUAUUGAGAUUUUAAAAAGAGAGUUAUUAUUACUGAAAUUUGAUCUUUGUUUUGGAUCAAACUUUGGGAGAAAACCUUUUGAAGCCCAACAUUUUAUAAGCUGCAGAUUUUUUUUAGCGUGCAUCUUUUCCAUUCAAUAACUAAUUGAAUGGAAAUGGUUAUUCCACAUCUCCAAUUUUCGGCUACAAAAUCCUCAAGACUUUCCCAACUUCUUCACACAGUUUCAAAUUUAUUACUACUCACCCCAGAUUUUCUUCCGAUAAAUUUUACAACUUUCUUUCACAGAUUCGAUGCCACGAGCUGUGUAAACUUUGAGCAGAUUCAUAUCACACAAAGGUCCACUUGAUAGAAGGCUUUAGCAUUGGCUUUACAAGGCAAGAGGAUUUGUGCAUCUUUUAUCUACAGGCUUGUCUUAUCGAGGUUGAGCGGCAGAUGGUGACGUGCGAAGCUGAGGGAUGGUGUUGCUGUAUUUUCAGAUAAAUGUUAAGAAUAUUUUUCCGCUGCCAUAGUAUUCCCUAAGGUGGAUAUUAUUUGAGAUUAGCUAUCUUAAUAUUCGCUUAGUACUAAAUGUUAUCUUCUUGUCUCAGACCUCCGAACUUUUGAUCCUGGUUGGGAGAAUUUCUAUCUAAGUUGUCGUAUUUAUUAUCCUUCAAUUACGAAAUUCCUUUAUUAUGAAUGUGUCACCAAAUCUAAGGACAUAUUACCUAUUUUAUUCAUGCAAAGUCUAGAAAUCCCAUUAAGUAGCACGUUUCCUAUUCUCCCGGGAACGAGGGCUGUCACAGAUGGUAUCAGAGCAAAAGUUCUUGGCUCUGAGACCGCAAGUUCAUUGAUGUCGAGUCUAGGAUAGCAUCUCUAGACUUCUAAAAGUUUAUACAGCAACCCUCAGCUCGUCGUCACACUGCCCUCAUCCAAGGUAUGUUAUUCAUGUUUUCAAAAUGUUUACUGAAAUGCAUGCACCAAAUGAAUAUGUUAUAAAACAUGUUAAGAUUGAAUAUGCACUGAGAUAGAACAUGCAUUAUGAUUGAACAUGCAUUGAGAUGAACAUGUAUUGAGACUGAACAUGCAUAGAGACGGGACACGCAUUGAGACUGAACAUGCACUGAGACAAAACAUGCAUUGAGACGGAACAUGUAUUGAGACUGAACAUGCAUUGAAACAUAGCAUGUAUUGAAACUAUAAACGCACUGAGGCUGAACAUGCAUUGAGACAGAAUAUACGUAUUGAGACUGAACAUGCAAUAAGAAUGGAUGUGUUUUGAGAUUGAAUGCAUUGAUAUAAAUUGCGACUGAACAUACACUGAAGCGAAUCAUGUAUGGAGACGUCCGUACACUGAAACGCAACAUGUAUGGAACCUUAACAUAUAUUGAGACUAGACAUGCAUAUGAUCAUGAAUUUGAGAUUGAAAUAUUUUAUCAUACAAAAGUAUGUGCCCGACUUGUUUUGAAAUGAGGAAAUGUUGCAUAAAUGAUUAAUAUGCAAUUUAUUACCAUGAGAUGAUUCAACCACUGCGUGUUAUUACAUGUUUUAGUUAGGUUGUGAACCUAGAAAGGAUAUGAUGACAGACUAUAGUCGCUUGGAGAACUGAUGAAUGAUGUCUUUAGAUUUUUUAAAAUUUUUAAGAUUGCAGAAUUUUAGAAUCACAUGGACAGACUAAGAAUAGAAAGGACUAUACGAAGAAAGCACUGGAGAUAGAAUGACUUGAACGUAGUAGGGACUGAACAAUGAAAGCACUGAACAUAGAAUCACAGAACAUAGAAAGUAUAGAAUGGCAUAAACAUAGAACAUGGAAGAGUAAGGCAUAGAAAGUCGGUAUACGAAAGUUAGAAUAUCGGAGCAUGAUACAUAAAAGGGUGACUCAUGGAUAACCAAUAUUGGUUUCAUAAUAGAAAGAUUUUUAGGUCAUUAGUAUCACAGAUUUUUAAGAAGAAUGAAGAAGAAGCCCAACAUUGUUGAUUACAUACAGAAUGGCUGGAGAAAGAGGACUUAAUCCUGAAGAACAUGUGUCACGAGUUAUACCAGAACAUAGUGUGGAAGAGAGGUUUCGCAACCAUAAUCCACCAACUGUUGAUGGUCUUGGUGAUCCUCUGGAUGCCGAGAGAUGGGUAAGAGCUACUGAAAGGAUACUCAACCAUGUUGGCUGUGGGGAUAGGGAUAAACUCACAUGCGCAAUUUUCCAACUCGUUGAUGAGGCCAAAUUCUGGUGGGAAUCGGUGCAACGAACCUUGACCCCCGAGCAAUGGGAGGCGUACACGUGGAACGAUUUUAAAGAAAGACUAUAUGAAAAGUAUAUCAUUGGAUGCUAUAGAAAGAAGAAACAAGAUGAGCUUUGGGAUUUAAGAAAUGCGAAGAGAUUGAUGGGGAUAUUCGAUCGAAAGAUCAAACUUUAUGGGGCAAGCAGAUUUAUUCUGCCUUUAAUGAAUCACUAUGAACGACGAGAAAAGUACGUGCAGACUAGAAGUCAAGUUUGCUAGCCGGGGUAUUUAAAUUUCGAGGACGAAAUUUUUUAAGGGGGGAGGGUUGUAAUACCCUGAUUUUUCCUAAUAGAAUUUCACGAGAGUUCUUGAACUUUGAAUAAGUAUUUUCUCGCCGGGAUAUAUUAUUAUAUUUCUUUUCGAAAAAGUAUUUCUUCUAACAAAAGAUUUUAUCAAGGUUUUAUAAUUUUAAUAUUAGAAUUUUAUGCAAAUAGAAUCUUUCAUGCUUUGUCAUUUUUUUUAGAAAAUCAAUAAUGUUUACAGCAGUGACUUGAUUCAGAUUUCAGAUUGGUUAUAUAUGCGUUGGGCCAAAUUCAGCUAUUGAGAUUUUAAAAAGAGAGUUAUUAUUACUGAAAUUUGAUCUUUGUUUUGGAUCAAACUUUGGGAGAAAACCUUUUGAAGCCCAACAUUUUAUAAGCUGCAGAUUUUUUUUAGCGUGCAUCUUUUCCAUUCAAUAACUAAUUGAAUGGAAAUGGUUAUUCCACAUCUCCAAUUUUCGGCUACAAAAUCCUCAAGACUUUCCCAACUUCUUCACACAGUUUCAAAUUUAUUACUACUCACCCCAGAUUUUCUUCCGAUAAAUUUUACAACUUUCUUUCACAGAUUCGAUGCCACGAGCUGUGUAAACUUUGAGCAGAUUCAUAUCACACAAAGGUCCACUUGAUAGAAGGCUUUAGCAUUGGCUUUACAAGGCAAGAGGAUUUGUGCAUCUUUUAUCUACAGGCUUGUCUUAUCGAGUGCUCCUAUGUUCUCUAACGAUCGGGUCCUAGCCGGCGUAGCGAUUGGAUCGCCCUGGUUAGGAUUGUGUACACACAAGGGGGUAUUGUGGGCUGCUCCCACUUGCCUCAGACUGUCAGACUUGGGUUGUUCCCAUUUCUGAAACAUGCAUGGUAGUGGACCUCUGUGGGCUGCUCCCACAUGUUCACAUUAUAGGUGAAGCACCAGUAGAGAGAAGACUGAAAAUGGAUCCACAAUUUAUUUUAUGUAUGCAUAGGAUGAUUUCAAAUAUUUCUAUGUUAUACUGUUCAUAGCAUGGAUUAUUCUUUUAAA